UCAUAUGUACAUACCUACAUCGUUAAUGCAUCAGAUCCCAUUAGAACACCGCAAUUAAGCACACUUAGAAUAGAUUCAUAUUGGGAUGGGUGACCUCUCGGGAAGUCUUGGUGUUUUACAUGUGAU
rnacentral:rRNA from 1 species